GUGGGGAAUAUUGGACAAUGGGCGCAAGCCUGAUCCAGCAAUGCCGCGUGAGUGAUGAAGGCCUUAGGGUUGUAAAGCUCUUUUACCCGGGAAGAUAAUGACUGUACCGGGAGAAUAAGCCCCGGCUAACUCCGUGCCAGCAGCCGCGGUAAUACGGAGGGGGCUAGCGUUGUUCGGAAUUACUGGGCGUAAAGCGUACGUAGGCGGUUUUGUAAGUUAGAGGUGAAAGCCCGGAGCUCAACUCCGGAACUGCCUUUAAGACUGCAUCACUUGAACGGCGGAGAGGUGAGUGGAAUUCCGAGUGUAGAGGUGAAAUUCGUAGAUAUUCGGAAGAACACCAGUGGCGAAGGCGGCUCACUGGACGGGAACUGACGCUGAGGUACGAAAGCGUGGGGAGCAAACAGGAUUAGAUACCCUUGUAGUCC
rnacentral:rRNA from 1 species